UAUAUCCCUGGAUCUUCACACUUUUUAGUCUCAAAAAACGCGAAAACCCCCUGCAGUCGACUGGUAACGAGCUCUAUCAAAAGACAGAAACGUUAGAAACGAUGCAAUAUAAGUAAAACACCAAUUUAUAUAGCUCCAUCACUAGAAAAAGGAUGUGAAUGUGGCUAUCACAGCUGGUGGACUGUACACAGAAAUGGCAAAAUAAAUGCCUUACCUGUCCGAGACGGCCAUUUUCAUAUUGCCAGGCACCAAAAGUUGGAACUGCUGCUGCUGAGAAGCAGUCGAACUGUUUUCUUGAUGGUGGUGCCUCUGCAAAGUGCUAUACUGCUGCGAGUGAUGAUAGGAGAGGUGCUGCUGAGAAGAUGCGAUGCUUUGAGCAGCUGCAGUCCCAUUAUUGUAACUCGAAGAAGAAAAUGGCCCUGAUCGAUUGCAGGGGGAUGCCGGUUUCCCGACAUGGUGACUGAUGAUUUAUUCAAGGGAAGUGUCAUGUAGCCACUGCUCGUCGGCAACGUUUUGACGGCUGCAAUAACCGACGAGUCGUUUGCUGUCGAAUUUGCUGUUGGUUUGCUGUUUCCAUCAUCAGCUAGUCUCAAUCCGUUAUUGCCACUGGAAUGAGCUGCAACGAAAAAUGCAUCAGUUUACGAACCUGAACAUUCAAAGUGGGUUUGAGUGCAUCGUUUACCAGUAGCAGUUGUAUUGGAUUGUGUGGGAGUUUUGGUUCGGCGACAACAGCAGACGACAACGAUGGCCGUGACAGCGCAGAUGAUGACGACACCAAUGCUUCCGGCUACGGCUCCAAAGACGGGGAUGUGGUUGUUUCGUCCGUAUUGUCUCCGCAAUGGUUGACACCAUCACAAAGCAAAUCAGUUGAGAUGCAAAAGUCUUUUUGAGCGCAGCGAAAAUCCCGGCAAACAAGUUCCGCUAAAUCAACGGUGACGACCAGAUGAAAACCGCUGGUUUCGGUGCCCCAAGCGUCUGUGACGUAUUUGAGCGUGACAAAGUUGGUUCGUGUAGUGAUGGUGCCUACGCUUUGUCGCGUGUGUCGACACGAAAGGUCAGCCUAAAGGACGAUGAAUUAGUCAAGUACGUAAAACACGAGCCGUUUAACUCUGAUUUGUGUGUUUGUCUCGGUUAUUUUUAAAUGAAUCGAUGUCCGUGCACACGUCGCCUCACCUUGUAAACUCCUGUGGCGUGAGCUCCGUCGUAAAUGAACAAGUGAUCGUUACAGUCGAGUUGAAGUUGAUCGAAACGCAGCAUGAAACGUUGCAGGACCGUCUCCGUCUGGAAUGUGAUGAGGCAAUCCAAAUUGUGCUCGUUUUGAGACCUCAAAACGGCGCCAUCGAUCUUGCGAUAGAGUUGCUGCAGAAAAUGGCUCUUGCAAAGCGAAGCAACGUGAUCUGUCCAUCGAAUCAAUGCGUCAGGUGCUAUUACCUUAAACUUUUUUCCUAGCACGUUCUUCUUUUAAAUAGUUUUUACGUUAGACUGACAACCAAAGUUCUCGUUGACUUGAGAGAAACGCGGCCGAUAAUAAGUUUGUGCGUGUCUGUUGUUGCGUGUAGACGAAAAAGGGUAGGACUUUUACGAUUUAUUUGUGUAACUACGCAAUAACUGACGUCAAUUAUUCAUGGAAGAAUGAUGAUGGGUCGGGCAGCCUUGCCAUCCAACAUCACACGCGUACAAAACGCGGAAAUAGCAGUGAGGGGAGCUCAGUGUAUCGUGAACACACCUUUUGUUAUGUAAUUGAAAAGUACUUAUCUAGACUAUUCGUUUGACGAUGCGUUAUGUUUGUUGUUUAUGUACUACACGACCAUCAAUGUCUAUAAUUUUAACCAAAUGUUUUCCUAAUAAUCAUCUAGCGAUCACUAGCCAUUGCUGAAUUAAUCAAUUCAGCUCUCGGCCUUUAUGCGGAGUAGAAGCGCUCGGGUCUGGAGAAAAUCAAUCUGUUGGGGAUCUAAUAAAAAGCAGCUGCCGUGCAUGCAUUUGAUGGGCUUGCGUCGUAGUAAUCUUGAAAUAUGUUGAUGUAGUCCAUCCGGCUUGUUUUUACGUAUGCUGGCCUAACGAUCGGAUACGAUAAAAAAUAGGGCCUCUCGAUUAUAGUUGUGUCAUUUCCAUAUCCCAUCAAUAAAUUUUCAAGGCAGCCGCCGAUUUAUUUUUUGCUGAUCUACGUAUUAGACUGGAGCGCAGAAGCUUUUCUCGAUAAUCACAUUCGAUGCAUAAGGGGAAACCUUUUAUAUUAUAUAUAUAUAUAUAGCGUGGGGCCAUAUAUUUUGCUUGUCUAUAAUAGUUUUCUAUAUAGCCACACACACACACACACACACCAUAUUAUAAGAGUUCCCCUUAGCACGUGAUAGGAUAUAGCCGAAUCUGUGUGUAGGCACAUACAGGCUGAGCCUUUAUACAGGUUUUAUCCGCUCUUUUAAAAACACAGAGAGAAAAGAGAGAGAAUAAAAAAAAAACAGGCGAGCAUCGAGAGAGAGAGAGAGAGAGAGACGAACUAUCGAUCGGUCGGCUGCUGCGGGAAUAGACGUGCCUUACAAAACAAGUGUAGGGAAUGACAGAGAAGGGGAGAGAAACAUUGUGGAUGCAACGGCGGUGGCGGCAUCAUCAGACGCUAACUCACAAUAUAUUAUUAGCCUUUAUGUGUACGUAUGAACAAAAAGGCGAUAUACAGCGGCUUGUAUGGAAAUAAAAUAGGUGACUGUGCAUCUCUUUGAAGUUUGUUGUGUGCUGACCCUUUGUAAACAAUUUCCCAUUUUUGCUCAGUCAAAGUCAUCUGAUGUGCUUAUUCAAAUGAGAAACUAGUAGAAUUCACUUAACUAUACAGACAGUAUCAAAGGAAUAGGUAAAUUGAGACUUGCAAUGCUUGUUUUUCUCCGCUUUGGCCAAACUGGCGCAACACAAAAGGCCAACGAAUGACAUGACCAAUAAUUUGUGAAGCCAGGACGUCAAUAAAGUCGAAUCGCCGAACCCAAUUUUCUUCUUCUUUUUCCAAUUGUAGUAGGACGACGUCUCGGCUGAAUGGAACAUUCUAUUCGUCUUCCUUUUUUCCUAUUUUCACUAGAAUUCUUUCCUGGAUAGUUUCACGGCACGCACUUUUCCCGUGACUUAUCCCGACAUGCACCUACGUCAAUUUGUUCCUCUUUUUCGGACAAUACUCCCAAUAUUGAUCAUUUCUCACUUUUUCUUCCUUUCAACUGUUCACAUCACUGAUGUGUUUCUAUUUUAUUUUUAUUUUUAAUUUUUUUUUAAAGAAGGGGUUUGCGAAAAUGCGACCGGCCAAUGAAACACACGCUGUAACACUGUCUAGAUCGGCAGUCGCCGUCGUAAUGUUCGUUAAACAGUAGAGGACACGGGAUGUUUAACUAUUGGGCAGUCUCUGCUGCAUAUGUCAGACUGGCAGUGACUCUCUGGCUCGAUCUUGUAUGUAUACGUGCAUACCCCUUCUUCUUCUUCUUCUUCUUCUUCUUCUUCUUCUUCUUCUUCUUCUAUUUCUUUACUGGAUGCGUGUGUAGCUAGUAGAGAGAACCAACUUUCAGGGCUUUCUAAUACAGUUUAGUUCCUCCCCUUCUUCUUAUUCAGCCCCGCCCUCCAUUGAUAUCGAUCAAAUAACCUCCUCUUCCAUCCUCCCUUUUCCCUGCCUCUAUAUAACACACAGCAGUUUUCUUUCCGUUUCUUUUUUGUGUAUGUGUGUGGGGGACGGAUGGCGAAAAAAUCGAUGGCCACCGCUCGUUCGCUGUCACGAGACUCGCUCCCAAAUUCCCAACAAUUCCAUUUUGCCCUAUAGCUGCUCCUCACAUCUUGGCAGAGAACCCACCCUAUUGUGUUUGUACACGCUCCAACUUGUACUGUAUAGUAGACUGGCCGGAGUAGUUUGAAAUAGGACAACUGAAAAAGGAAUCCAUCAUCAUAGCCCGUCAUAAACCCCGACAUCUGCCAAAAUCCCCAAUAACGUCGUCAUUCCCCAUUCUAGCAUGAAUUAACUUGAUCAACAUUCAAUUAGAUCUUAAUGGGCAAAAAAAAAAAAACGUCAAUAAAAAAUAACGAUGUAGAAUUAAGUUUGAUCCUUUGUACAAAAUGUAUUGAUCCGCUCUUUUUCUUUUCAGCUUGCGGUCUAAAAACUUUUGUCGACACAAUGUAAUAUACAAAAAAAGGUACGAUAAUAAAUAGGAGCAUUGUUGGGGGGGGGUUAAGGGACUAUAGGGCAGCCCCAAGAAUGGUAGCCAAAAUGAAGACGAUGAUGACGAUUGCCAUGACAACACAAAGGCAGCGACGUUGAUUAACUACACUAGCGGAAUCUUCUUCUUCCUCUUCGUCUUGGUCGUCGUCCGGGUAGGAUAAAGACGAAGAACCGACCGAAUCAUCAGCCACGUUGCAAUAGCCGCUACUAGCGCCACUGUCGUUGUUGUAGUACUGGCAAGUCGUUGUCGUCUGGUUGUUGAUGAUGGAUCUAUUGUGAUGUUGGCAAACGGCGGAAUCGCCUUGCAGUCGUUCCAGUUGGCCGCUAGCACCACCCGAAUCCGUCAGAGUCAAAUAAGAUUCGAUUUCGACCACAUUGUAGUUGAAUUGAAUGUAGAUGCCGUUUUACUGUUGAAGUUGGUUAAUUUCGGCGCGUUCGAGACUUAAUAAAUCAGCUAAUGGAACGUCGUCGUCAUCGUCGACCAGGCAACUGGAUUCGUGAUUUUGCAGACGACCAUUCCGAUUUUUGUUCACCUUCCUCUUCUUCUUUUGUUUAUUUUGCUGUUGCUUCUUGUUGCUGGACAACAACAAGUCCAGUAUUGAUGAAACCAGCCGCCGGAUAAAGAGCAAAAGUGCAUUGCAAUUGCAAAGAGAGGGGAGUCAGUUUUUUUGGUUUGUACAAAUUACCGAGGACGUAAAGGCAGCAAUACAGCAAACACCAUAAUCGUCCGCAAGAUUCACUACCGGCACUAUCCAACCUAAACGUACCGUACGUGAGAAUGAAACGACGAACGGUACUGGCCAGCUGACGAGCUCGUCGCCUGGUGCGCUUCAGUCGACCACGAAGAUUUUGGCCGUCUCCACUCGAUGUACCCAACGACGUGGCCAAUUGGUGAUAGGCCGACACCUGGCCAUUCAGUUCCCUCAGCAACUUUGUGUUGGGAAACAAUGACAGUAUUUACUUUGUUCAGUUUUUCUCCGUACAUUAGAAAAGAAAUCAAGUGAUUCGUUUACCUUGAAACAUUGAACAGGAUCUGUCACUGACGAAUCGACACAAUGUUGUUGCUGAUUCUGGCCGGAUAACCAAAAUGUGGAAGUGGCGAUUCUUCUUGUGACGACGGCAUUCGAUGAAAGCGUGGUGGUCAUCGCAUUCAACGCGAAAUUCCGACCACACAACAAACCGUACCCACUUGGCUUUCUUGUUAGGGUUUCUAACUGGCCUUGCAAUCACACAAGAUACAUUCAUCCAUCGUGUCUCUUAACCCCCACCCCCAAAACGUCACACACGAAAGAAGAAGAAAAAGGAAAAAAAGAAAUGGG